rnacentral:rRNA from 1 species
UACAGAGGUCCCAAGCCGUUGUUCGGAUUCAUUUGGGCGUAAAGGGUGCGUAGGCGGCGCGGUAAGUCGGGUGUGAAAUCUCGGAGCUUAACUCCGAAACUGCAUUCGAUACUGCCGUGCUUGAGGACUGGAGAGGAGACUGGAAUUUACGGUGUAGCGGUGAAAUGCGUAGAUAUCGUAAGGAAGACCAGUGGCGAAGGCGGGUCUCGUGGACAGUUCCUGACGCUGAGGCACGAAGGCCAGGGGAGCAAACGGG